UUCUGGAGAUUCGUCUGGUAAGGUCUUUUUUUGACAAAACUGUAUUAUAUUGAGAUGACUUGCUACGCCCUGCGUACUCAAGAUGGACAAAUCAAAACCAAGACAAAGUAGACUUACAAGGAAAAAAAGCUGUACACCUAAGACAACAGACAACAUGUGGAAAAGAGGAGCCAGAAAGCUUCAUCCUACAUAAACUCAGCAUUGACCCAGAU